UGGCUCAGGAUGAACGCUGGCGGCGUGCUUAACACAUGCAAGUCGAACGAAGCACCUGAGAAUGAUUCUUCGGAUGAAGUCUCUUGUGACUGAGUGGCGGACGGGUGAGUAACGCGUGGGUAACCUGCCUCACACAGGGGGAUAACAGUUGGAAACGACCGCUAAUACCGCAUAACCCGCUGGUGCCGCAUGGCACUGACGGAAAAGAUUUAUCGGUGUGAGAUGGACCCGCGUCUGAUUAGCCAGUUGGCAGGGUAACGGCCUACCAAAGCGACGAUCAGUAGCCGGCCUGAGAGGGUGAACGGCCACAUUGGGACUGAGACACGGCCCAGACUCCUGCGGGAGGCAGCAGUGGGGAAUAUUGCACAAUGGGGGAAACCCUGAUGCAGCGACGCCGCGUGAGUGAAGAAGUAUUUCGGUAUGUAAAGCUCUAUCAGCAGGGAAGAAAAUGACGGUACCUGAUUAAGAAGCCCCGGCUAACUACGUGCCAGCAGCCGCGGUAAUACGUAGGGGGCAAGCGUUAUCCGGAUUUACUGGGUGUAAAGGGAGCGUAGACGGUGAUGCAAGUCAGAAGUGAAAGCCCGGGGCUCAACUCCGGGACUGCUUUUGAAACUGUGUGAC
rnacentral:rRNA from 1 species